rnacentral:rRNA from 1 species
CUACGGGAGGCAGCAGUGAGGAAUAUUGGACAAUGGGCGGGAGCCUGAUCCAGCCAUGCCGCGUGCAGGAAGACGGUCCUAUGGAUUGUAAACUGCUUUUGUACGGGAAGAACAAGGGGCACGUGUGCCCCUCUGACGGUACCGUAAGAAUAAGGAUCGGCUAACUCCGUGCCAGCAGCCGCGGUAAUACGGAGGAUCCGAGCGUUAUCCGGAAUCAUUGGGUUUAAAGGGUCCGUAGGCGGGCCGUUAAGUCAGGGGUGAAAGUCUGCGGCUCAACCGUAGGACUGCCCUUGAUACUGGCGGCCUUGAGUUAUGGUGAAGUGGCUAGAAUAUGUGGUGUAGCGGUGAAAUGCAUAGAUAUCACAUGGAAUACCGAUUGCGAAGGCAGGCCACUAACCAUAUACUGACGCUGAUGGACGAAAGCGUGGGGAGCGAACAGGAUUAGAUACCCUGGUAGUCCACGCCGUAAACGAUGGAUACUAGCUGUCCGGUACCUUGAGUACUGGGCGGCCAAGCGAAA